AACGCGAAGAACCUUACCUGGGUUUGACAUCCCAUGAAAAGUGCAGAGAUGCAUAAUAGUCGCAAGACACAUGGAGACAGGUGCUGCAUGGCUGUCGUCAGCUCGUGUCGUGAGAUGUUGGGUUAAGUCCCGCAACGAGCGCAACCCUUUCCCUUAGUUGCCAUCAUUCAGUUGGGCACUUUAGGGGUACUGCCGAUGAUAAAUCGGAGGAAGGUGGGGAUGAGGUCAAGUCAUCAUGGCCCUUACGUCCAGGGCAACACACGUACUACAAUGGCCAAAACAAAGCGAUGCAAUACCGCGAGGUGGAGCCAAUCGCAAAAACAUGGUCUCAGUUCGGAUUGUGGUCUGCAACUCGACCACAUGAAGUUGGAAUCUCUAGUAAUCGCAGAUCAGCAGGCUGCGGUGAAUACGUUCCCGGGCUUGUACACACCGCACUACUA
rnacentral:rRNA from 1 species